AUUGAACGCUGGCGGCAUGCUUUACACAUGCAAGUCGAACGGUAACAGGCCGCAAGGUGCUGACGAGUGGCGAACGGGUGAGUAAUGCAUCGGAACGUGCCCAGUCGUGGGGGAUAACGCAGCGAAAGUCGCGCUAAUACCGCAUACGAUCUAUGGAUGAAAGCGGGGGACCGUAAGGCCUCGAGCGAUUGGAGCGGCCGAUGUCAGAUUAGGUAGUUGGUGGGGUAAAGGCUCACCAAGCCGACGAUCUGUAGCUGGUCUGAGAGGACGACCAGCCACACUGGGACUGAGACACGGCCCAGACUCCUACGGGAGGCAGCAGUGGGGAAUUUUGGACAAUGGGCGCAAGCCUGAUCCAGCAAUGCCGCGUGCAGGAAGAAGGCCUUCGGGUUGUAAACUGCUUUUGUACGGAACGAAACGGUCCUGGUUAAUACCCGGGGCUAAUGACGGUACCGUAAGAAUAAGCACCGGCUAACUACGUGCCAGCAGCCGCAGUAAAAC
rnacentral:rRNA from 1 species